ACGGCCGUACCAUGCUGAAUAUACCGGUUCUCGUUAGAUCACCAAAGUGAAGCAUCAUUGGGCGCUACCGAAGUAACUAAUAUACCAGUACUUGGGUGGGUGACCAUCUGGGAACACCGCGUGCCGUUG